UACGUAGGUGGCAAGCGUUGUCCGGAAUUAUUGGGCGUAAAGCGCGCGCAGGCGGUCCUUUAAGUCUGAUGUGAAAGCCCCCGGCUCAACCGGGGAGAGUGGCUGGAAACUGGCGUUCUUGAGGGCGACAGAGGAGUGUGGAAUUCCUGGUGUAGCGGUGAAAUGCGUAGAGAUCAGGAGGAACACCCGUGGCGAAGGCGGCACUCUGGGUCGCACCUGACGCUGAGACGCGAAAGCGUGGGGAGCGAAUGGG
rnacentral:rRNA from 1 species